rnacentral:rRNA from 1 species
GUAAUAAAUUCAGCCUACUUCACCUUAAUAAGUUAAUAAUACUUUUUAAUUAAUUAAAUAAAACAUUUUCAUCAUUUUAGUAAAGGAGAUAGAAAAAUUCAUUAGCGCAAUAUAAAUAGUACUGCAAAGGAAAAAUGAAAUAGAAAUUAAAUAAAUCAUAAAAACAAUAAAAAGCAAAGAUUAAACCUUUUACCUUUUGCAUCAUGGUCUAGUAAGUUUAACCUAACAUAAAGAACUUAAGUUAGACACCCCGAAACUAAAUGAGCUACUACGAAGCAGCAAAACGAGCCAACCCUUCUCUGUGGCAAAAGAGUGGGAAGACUUCCUAGUAGUGGUGACAAACCUAACGAGUUUAGUAAUAGCUGGUUACUUAAUAAAUGAACUUAAAUUCAACUUAAAAUAUUUUUAAACAAAUAAAGUAAAAAAUAAUAUUUUAAAGUUAAUUAAUAGAGGUUCAGCUCUAUUAAUAAAGGAUACAACCUAAAAUAAUGAAUAAUGAUUAUAUUAAUAAAAGAAAUUAAUUAUGUGGGCCUAAAAGCAGCAAUCAAGAAUAAAAGCGUUAUAGCUUAAUUUAAUAAAUCUUAUUAUAACAAUAAAAUAAUCUUAAUUCAUUAAAACUAUUAAGUCAAUCUAUUUAAAUAGAUGUGAUUAUACUAGAAUGAGUAACAAGAAAACAUUCUCUUAGUGUAAGUGUAAAUCAGAACGAAUAUUUCACUGAUAAUUAACGAACCUUUUGAGGGAAAAAUAAUAUUUUACAAGAAAAACCUAUUUAACCUAUCGUUAACCCAACACAGGAGCACACUAGAAAGAUUAAAAAUAUAGGAAGGAACUCGGCAAACAUGAACUUCGCCUGUUUACCAAAAACAUCGCCUCUUGCAAUUUAGGUAUAAGAGGUCCUGCCUGCCCAGUGACAUUAAGUUUAACGGCCGCGGUAUUAUGACCGUGCAAAGGUAGCGUAAUCACUUGUCUUUUAAAUAGAGACCAGUAUGAAUGGCAAGACGAAAGUUCAACUGUCUCCCUAAAUUAAUCAGUGAAAUUGAUCUUUCCGUGCAGAAACGGAAAUAUAAUUAUAAGACGAGAAGACCCUAUGGAGCUUUAAACAUAUAAUCAAUUGUAAAACAUAAGAUCCGAAAGACUAAAUAUAAAAUAAAACAAUAUGAUUAAAAUUUUAGGUUGGGGCGACCACGGAGAAAAACAAAACCUCCGAGAUGAAGAGAAUAUCUUAAUUCAAGAACUACAAUUCUAAAAAAUAAAAUAUUUAACAUAAUUGAUCCAAUAUUUUGAUCAACGAACCAAGUUACCCUAGGGAUAACAGCGCAAUCCUCUCCAAGAGUCCCUAUCGACGAGUGGGUUUACGACCUCGAUGUUGGAUCAGGACACCCCAAUGGUGCAGCCGCUAUUAAAGGUUCGUUUGUUCAACGAUUAAAGUCCUACGUGAUCUGAGUUCAGACCGGAGUAAUCCAGGUCAGUUUCUAUCUAUAAAAAAUUUUUUCUAGUACGAAAGGGCCGAAAAAAUGGGGCCAAUAUAAAAAUAAGCCCCACCUUACCCUAUUGAAAACAAUUUAAAUAGAUUUAGGUAAAUUAAUAUACCCAAGAUAAGGGUUA